UUUAAGCGUGUAGGUGUGUGUUCCAGGUAAAUCCGGUUCACUUUAACACUGAGGCGUGAUGACGAGGCACUACGGUGCUGAAGCAACAAAUGCCCUGCUUCCAGGAAAAGCCUCUAAGCAUCAGGUAACAUCAAAUCGUACCCCAAACCGACACAGGUGGUCAGGUAGAGAAUACCAAGGCGCUUGAGAGAACUCGGGUGAAGGAACUAGGCAAAAUGGUGCCGUAACUUCGGGAGAAGGCACGCUGACAUGUAGGUGAAGUGAUUUACUCAUGGAGCUGAAGUCAGUCGAAGAUACCAGCUGGCUGCAACUGUUUAUUAAAAACACAGCACUGUGCAAACACGAAAGUGGACGUAUACGGUGUGACGCCUGCCCGGUGCCGGAAGGUUAAUUGAUGGGGUCAGCGCAAGCGAAGCUCCUGAUCGAAGCCCCGGUAAACGGCGGCCGUAACUAUAACGGUCCUAAGGUAGCGAAAUUCCUUGUCGGGUAAGUUCCGACCUGCACGAAUGGCGUAAUGAUGGCCAGGCUGUCUCCACCCGAGACUCAGUGAAAUUGAACUCGCUGUGAAGAUGCAGUGUACCCGCGGCAAGACGGAAAGACCCCGUGAACCUUUACUAUAGCUUGACACUGAACAUUGAGCCUUGAUGUGUAGGAUAGGUGGGAGGCUUUGAAGCGUGGACGCCAGUCUGCGUGGAGCCGACCUUGAAAUACCACCCUUUAAUGUUUGAUGUUCUAACGUGGAUCCGUAAUCCGGGUUGCGGACAGUGUCUGGUGGGUAGUUUGACUGGGGCGGUCUCCUCCUAAAGAGUAACGGAGGAGCACGAAGGUUGGCUAAUCCUGGUCGGACAUCAGGAGGUUAGUGCAAUGGCAUAAGCCAGCUUGACUGCGAGCGUGACGGCGCGAGCAGGUGCGAAAGCAGGUCAUAGUGAUCCGGUGGUUCUGAAUGGAAGGGCCAUCGCUCAACGGAUAAAAGGUACUCCGGGGAUAACAGGCUGAUACCGCCCAAGAGUUCAUAUCGACGGCGGUGUUUGGCACCUCGAUGUCGGCUCAUCACAUCCUGGGGCUGAAGUAGGUCCCAAGGGUAUGGCUGUUCGCCAUUUAAAGUGGUACGCGAGCUGGGUUUAGAACGUCGUGAGACAGUUCGGUCCCUAUCUGCCGUGGGCGCUGGAGAACUGAGGGGGGCUGCUCCUAGUACGAGAGGACCGGAGUGGACGCAUCACUGGUGUUCGGGUUGUCAUGCCAAUGGCACUGCCCGGUAGCUAAAUGCGGAAGAGAUAAGUGCUGAAAGCAUCUAAGCACGAAACUUGCCCCGAG
rnacentral:rRNA from 1 species